rnacentral:tRNA from 1 species
AGCCCUGAGAUGAAUUAGUUGAGAUUGCAAAUCUUGAGAAGCAGGUUUGAUUCCUGCCGGGGCUU